AAAAUGAGAAUAAAAAGAGAUAGGUGCAGAGACUCAAAAUCCGUCGAAUUUUAAAAUCGUGAGGGUUCAAGUCCCUCUAUCCCCA
rnacentral:tRNA from 3 species